rnacentral:lncRNA from 1 species
GGCUUCUACUGAUGAAUCCUGAUGGUCCAGGCCAGCAUCAGCUGCAGCGGCUGAGGACAGAGGACUGAGGGGCAGGGGCGCCCCUUGGUGCAGGUGAGCCUGGGGCCGAGUGGACAGCUGGCCGUGGCAGGCAGUGGCAGCAGGAGCGUCUUGGGGCAGGUGAGCCUGGGGCCGAGUGGACAGCUGGCCGUGGUGGGCAGUGGCAGCAGGAGCCCUUCUGUUUUGUUUUUAAUUUUUGAGACAGGGUCUCACUGUGUGGUCCAGCCUGGCCAUGACCUUGAAUCCUCCUGCCUCAGCCUCCUGGGCACUGGGAUCACCAGUGCCACCCCACCUGUUGAGGGGCUUGGAGGGAGGACUCCAAGGGUGGGCUGAGGGAUCCAUGCUGGGUCCCCCUUCCUCUCAUGUUCCUGGGAUUUUCAGACAAGAGAGCAAAGACAGAGGCCAAAGCACACUCUGGAACCCGCAGGACCUGCCCCUGGCCUGUCCUGCGAUCAGCACAGGGUACCCGUGGCCCUGUUGACAAGGCCAGGAACAACAGGCCUGGCUCCUGGGGAGCAGGUGUGGCUAGAGGGCAAGUGGUGGGCAGCCCAUCACGAGGAAGGAGGGGCAGCUUCUCAGGCCCUGACCAGCCCGCUCUGGUGUCUCGUCCGAACUGUCCACCAGAGGGCAGCAGCCGCAGCAGCCAGGACAAGAGUGGGGCGGGAGACGCAGGAUGCCAGUUCAGGGCUGGUCUGUCCCAGGCCUGCGGGCUCCUGCCUCCUGAGAGAGACCCGCCCCUGGCAGGACCCUGACCUGGCUCCUGAGCUCUGGGCUCUCUGCCCUUUCACAGAUUGGAGGCUGAGGCCUUCACAAGGGUGACUUCUUCAAAGUAGAGUGCCCAGCAGGGCUUGUGGCCCACACCUGUAACCUAGCAACUCAGGAGGCUGAGGCAGGAGGAUGGCAGGUUCCAGGCCAGCCUCAGCAACUCAGCGAGGCCCUCAGCAACUCAGCGAGGCCCUAUCUCAAAGUAAACAAUAAAAAGUGAUGAAGUGUGGCUCAGUGGUUAAGUACCCCUGAGUUCAAUCCCUGGAACCAAAAAAUCCCCCCAAACUAGAGUACCCAGGACUCACUGCUCCCACGGCAAGAGGCCCUCCACUGCUCUGGGCAUGCAGGGGGAAGGGCAGGCCUCAUGGGGCCUCAUCGGGCCUCGAAGCCUGUGACCAGGGCUCUGUAUCUGGAGAAGAAUCUGCUGACGGGGCAGCAGGUGAUCCAGGAUAAUGACCCUGCUGGGGGGAGCUGUGCUGGUCAGCCGCCUCCGUGAUGACCCUUGACCCAGUUGGCCUUGGUAUCACCUGGGCCCACCCCGGCCUGGCCGUGCCCGCCAUGUCCCUUACAGAUGUCUUGGUGCUGAGUUGGGAUGGGUUGGAUAAGCAAAGUCCACACGCUGGGAACCCCCUCAGCAACUUGGUCCCGUAACUGGGGGUGGGACCACCAGAGCCAAGAGACAGACCUGCCCUGGGGACAAGUGCCCACUCCCUCCCACCAGCCCCCUGCCCUUAAAGCCAGAAGCACCCACGCAGGACAGCUGUGGGCUAGCCCACGCACCAGGGCGGGACUCUUAGGAUGUCCCACACGACUCCCUUGUGUCCCAGGAUGGGUGGUGCUGGGGACCACUGGGAUGCAGUCAGACCCAGAAGUCAUGGACUUGUCCCUGCUUGUUGGGCCACACCCAAGCCAAGGGUGAGCUGUCUGCCCCGGGAGCAGGGGGAGUGUGCCAGAGUGCAGGGCGGGCUGCCAGGAGCCGAGAGCAGACAGCCGGGGGACACAUGUGGGCCGGGCUCUCCAGGGAAACCACUCCCUGGCACGCAGACACAGCCAUCCCAAGGAACUCGCCACGUGCUCACAGAGACCUGGUAGCAAACUGGAGGCCGGGAGGCCUGCUGGCUGAGCCCAGGCAGGAGACCAGGCCCCAGGGGGGCUGCAGGGAAGAGCUGGAG